rnacentral:rRNA from 1 species
UAGGGAAUCUUCGGCAAUGGACGAAAGUCUGACCGAGCAACGCCGCGUGAGUGAAGAAGGUUUUCGGAUCGUAAAACUCUGUUGUUAGAGAAGAACAAGGACGUUAGUAACUGAACGUCCCCUGACGGUAUCUAACCAGAAAGCCACGGCUAACUACGUGCCAGCAGCCGCGGUAAUACGUAGGUGGCAAGCGUUGUCCGGAUUUAUUGGGCGUAAAGCGAGCGCAGGCGGUUUCUUAAGUCUGAUGUGAAAGCCCCCGGCUCAACCGGGGAGGGUCAUUGGAAACUGGGAGACUUGAGUGCAGAAGAGGAGGGUUGAAUUCCAUGUGUAGCGGUGAAAUGCGUAGAUAUAUGGAGGAACACCAGUGGCGAAGGCGGCUCUCUGGUCUGUAACUGACGCUGAGGCUCGAAAGCGUGGGGAGCAAACAGG